rnacentral:rRNA from 1 species
AGCCAGCAGCCGCGGUAAUACGGAUGGAGCAAGCGUUGUUCGGAAUCACUGGGCAUAAAGCGCAUGUAGGCGGCUCUGAAAGUAGGGUGUGAAAUCCCCUGGCCCACCCAGGGAACUGCAUUCUAAACUUCAGGGCUUGAGUGAAGAAGGGGAGAGAGGAACUCCUGGUGGAGCGGUAAAAUGCGUAGAUAUCAGGAGGAACGCCGGUGGAGAAGUCGUCUCUCUGGUCUUUUACUGACGCUGAGAUGCGAAAGCUAGGGGAGCAAACGGGAUUAGAUACCCCGGUAGUCCUAGCCGUAAACGAUGGGCACUAGGUAGGGGAAGUUCCGACACUUUCCCUGCCGAAGCAAAUGUGAUAAGUGCCCCGCCUGGGGAGUACGGUCGCAAGACUAAAACUCAAAGGAAUUGACGGGGGCCCGCACAAGC